rnacentral:rRNA from 2 species
GCCAAGCCCCAGGUCAGA